CUCGUAUUCACCUGGACAAACCUGCCGGGGCUGUAGCCUGGCAAGAAAAUGCGGGAUGCUGUAACUGUGAUCGCACUGCAGGGAAAAUGCAUGUGUGCCCCGAUACUGAGCAGCAGACACAAGAGAGGGGCCAUAAAUCCUGAUUCAGGACUGGAUUACUGACUUCCACAGGUGACCUCUGCUCAGAGUCCUCCUGAGUGCAGAAAACAGAGCUGCAAUGGAGCCGUCUUCUUUUUACGAACCAGAAGGUAAUGAAACUUCUUCAAAAUCAUUAAUCGUCUGCAGAAUUCCAGCUCAAAGCUAAAAGCACAGCAUGACUCCGACUUCAAAUGCUGCAUCCCUUUUUAGGCACCAAAUGAGAUGCAUCCCAACAUUCGGAUGCACUUCCAAACCUGAUGAUUGUUGCUAUAAGCCUCCUGCUGUUGUCCUGCCAACCUCUGGCUGAACCCUCUGACAUUUGUCUGCCAUCUUCUCUUUGAAAACAACAUCAAACCAAACCGUAAAAAGUCCAGGCCUCCAUCAUCUGGCUCUUAGAGGACGAUGGACGGCAUUCCCAGGACAGCUAGGAGCACUGAGAGAGGCCACCUCUCUGGUCUUCUUUUGGUUCUGCCACCACUUCUCCCUCCGGUUCUUUUGGGAGAAAAGUGAACAAAUCCUCCAAUAAAUCCAC
rnacentral:lncRNA from 1 species